rnacentral:rRNA from 1 species
GAUGAACGCUGGCUACAGGCUUAACACAUGCAAGUCGAGGGGAAACGGCAUUGAGUGCUUGCACUGAAUGGACGUCGACCGGCGCACGGGUGAGUAACGCGUAUCCAACCUUCCCGUUACUGCGGGAUAACCUGCCGAAAGGCAGACUAAUACCGCAUGUUCUUCGAUGACGGCAUCAGAUUCGAAGCAAAGAUCCGUCGGUAACGGAGGGGGAUGCGUCUGAUUAGCUGGUUGGCGGGGCGACGGCCCACCAAGGCGACGAUCAGUAGGGGUUCUGAGAGGAAGGUCCCCCACAUUGGAGCUGAGACACGGUCCAAACUCCUACGGGAGGCAGCAGUGAGGAAUAUUGGUCAAUGGGCGGAAGCCUGAACCAGCCAAGUAGCGUGCAGGAGGACGGCCCUACGGGUUGUAAACUGCUUUUAUGCGGGGAUAAAGUGAGGGACGCGUCCCUUUUUGCAGGUACCGCAUGAAUAAGGACCGGCUAAUUCCGUGCCAGCAGCCGCGGUAAUACGGAAGGUCCGGGCGUUAUCCGGAUUUAUUGGGUUUAAAGGGAGCGUAGGCCGGGGAUUAAGUGUGUUGUGAAAUGUAGGCGCCCAACGUCUGACUUGCAGCGCAUACUGGUUCCCUUGAGUACGCGCAACGCCGGCGGAAUUCGUCGUGUAGCGGUGAAAUGCUUAGAUAUGACGAAGAACCCCGAUUGCGAAGGCAGCCGGCGGGAGCGCAACUGACGCUGAAGCUCGAAGGUGCGGGUAUCGAACAGG